AACGAAAGAAUUUUUUAUGUAUGUAAACAUACAUUUGUAAGUGAUCAACUUUUUUUGUACAAUAGGCUAAUACGUUACUCCGACCUGCUAUGAUCUUUCUUCAGUUCCCCGCUGCUGCUUGAUUCUUAUUUCUUAUUUGCAAAUGCAGCCACCGAUCUUCUAUUGAUUCUUCUAGCCUCAUCCUCCUUUUGUUAUGACUCAAAUCUAAUUUGUAAAUGCAGCCACCGAUCUUCUAGCCUCAACCUUGUUGAUUCUCUGGACAACUUGCAGCAUAUAUCUACCGAUGUGGCUUGCUAUAGUGAAGCGGGGCGAGCUCCACGGCACCGGCCACGGCCUGCCUCCCGGAACCAGCCGCCAUCGUAGUUUCUGUUCAUGCAUAGUCACAGAUCAGAGUUCAAAGAUGUCUUGAAACAAACAGAAGGGCCUGACUGUUAGUCUUAAAUUCUAUCAGUAGUUCACAUUACAUAGAUAGUACAGAUUUGGAUGUUCAGUCAGAUAUGAAUCAUUCAUUAUUCUUUGCUUAAGAGAGAGAAAAAAGCAAAUGAAAAUGAAAAGGGGACAGAACGCUUUGAUUGCUCAAACCAUAAUCACCAUCAAUCAAAUGUGUCCCUACUUGCACAGAAAAUUCAAAUAUAAGCAUGAUCAGGGUUGAGAACACAUUGCUACCAUUAGAACAAAGGGUGGAUUACUGGAUUGCUCAUAAUCUGGGCCUUGUUCCUCACCUUCAGUAUGAAGAAUUAUUCUACAGAAUUAUAAAAUAUGUAUUGAUCUGAGAGGCUCUGUGACAGAUAUUCCGGUGAAAUCUUGAUCAUUGCCACGACAAGGUGAAGAUAAUUCUUGCUCACAGAUACAAACGGAUCUCGAUGUCUAUUAAAUUUACAAUCUCGUAACAAAACAUUACAUGCAAUAAAUAGACAUAAGACAAAAAUUAUGUUAUAUACCAACACCAAAGAGAUAAAACAAUUUGUUACUCUCCAUGUUGAGAAAUAUACACUCUAUGUAUGCACAAGAGAUUAGCCAACUCUCCUAAUCUUAACUUAAACGGAGAUAACUGCAAGUCUUGUGGGUAGAAUGCUAAAUUUGCAAAUUACAAGAAAAAUGAGGCAUUAUAGUGAGCAUGCAUCUAAUUAGAGAUUAUCAGAUGUAAUUUAAUACUGGAGGGGGCACAUUCCCCUCACCUUGACCAACCUGAUUAUUUUCUUUAUUGGUAGAAUCGCAAUAAUGGAGCGUUACAACACCCAUGAUGAAUUCCCAACAUUUCCUGAAAAAAGACAGGUGAAACUAUCCGGUCCGGGCACCUUUUCACGAUGCAUAUCAAAUACGGCCUUUUUUAUUUCCUCUAAAAUUUGAGUGCUUCUAGUUCCAGCAGCUCACAAGGUUAAAAACCAAGAACAUCAAAAUUCAGUGUGGCGGUCCUUGGCAAAUAAACUCCAAGAAGUUGAUCUAACAGAACUUUAGAUGUUCUACAGGUCAUGUACGACUCCCAUGUUGUAAUAAAAAAAUUAUGAUCAAUUUACGGUGCCUUACUACUGUACUCCUCAUCAAUUUAUAGUCCCAAUGGAGUAAAUAAAAAUGUCAGCUACUGUAAUCCAUCAGCUACUACAUGAAGAAAAAGAAGCUAAAAAUUCAGUUAUGUAGAUGAAUUCAAUUAAACUUCAAUUAUAGUUUGACAGGCUCCAAUUUUGAAGACUUUAGUGAUAAUCUUCAGUUUUCUGUCAUGAUUCCAAUCUUACAAUGUUGCUAUUGAUUUUUGACCGAAUACUGGUCCAGAAUUCAGCAUUCGACAACAACCAGAAAAGAGGAUGAUAAUUCAGAAUUCACCAGCAACAAAUGCCCAACCUUUGACAUUGGGACAUACAGCAACCACCGUGACUUUUGUAAUUCAGCAGCAACCGCUGACGGGGCCGGACUCGUUGUCCUGCUCGUCCAUGGGGAGAAGGCCCGUCAACGAGCCGUUGGUGCUCGUCAAAGGCACAGACAUGGUCUGGCGAUGGUUCACGGCCGGCGAACGACGGUGGCGGCACACGCGCGAGCCCCAGCCAGCCGCGCCUGCCUCCAGACAGUGGCGUGUGGUGCGCGCUAGACUUUGCCGUUCUGGCCGCCCGAGCGCCACUCCGCCCCACGCGGUCCCG
rnacentral:lncRNA from 1 species